rnacentral:lncRNA from 1 species
CCCGCCUCGGCCUCCCAAAGUGCUGGGAUUACAGGCAUGAGCUACUGCGCCCGGCCACAGGCACCUCCUAGGAUGAAAUGGGAGAGGCAGGGCGGGUGGAGGAGGGGACCCAGGAGCAGUCCACGGAAACAGCUGCUCACAAGGGUCACAUAUGACCCAGCCUUUCAUUCAACACAUAAAAACACCUAUUGGAUGUGCCCACCACCACGCCCAGCUAAUUUUUGUGUUUUUAGCAGAGAAGGGGUUUCACCAUAUUGGCCAGGAUGGUCUUGAUCUCUUGACCUUGUGAUCCGCCCGCCUCGGACUCCCAAAGUGCUGGGAUUACAGGCGUGAGCCACUACACCCAGCCAAAACACCUAUUGUAUACAGGCCUGGGCUAAAGGCUGAGAUGGCCCCGCAAAUAAGGUAAACAAUGCCCCUGCCCUGGAGUUUAGUGCCCAUGGCAGGUGUGGGUGGCACAGAUCAUUCAGAAACAAAGCUCUCACUGCCCGAGGCUGGGGUGGCAGUAAAGCAGGGUGGUUUAGGAUGGAUCCUGGAGAGCUGGUCUGUGAGGUCCUUCACUCCUAGCAAUCUAGGCAGACCUUGCCGAGGUGACAGAGGUGACAUUUGAGCUGUGACAUGAAUGGUGAGAAGGAGCCAGGCAUGCAAAGGUCUUGGGGAAGAGCAUUCUAGGCACAGGGAACAUGCAAGGCAGGAGUGGGCUUGGAGUGUUCCGAGAACAGAGAGGAACAGAAUGUGCCAAGGGGAGGAAGAGAGGAGAUGAGGCUGGGGAGGUGGGCACAUCAUGUCGCGUCUCAUAGGCCACGGUGAGGAGUUUGGAGCUUAUUGUAGGAGCCAUCAGAGGGUUUUUUAUCAGGGGCAGGAUGGGAACUGCUUUAUAGCUGUUAAGAUCACUGCAGCUGCUGAGAGACAAAGGGUGUAGAGGUUAGGGCUUCAACUGUGAUGCCAGGAGGCCUGAGCUGAUAUCCCUGGUCUGACACUUUUGAGCUGUGUGACCUUAGGCAAGCCAGUUAACCUAUCUGUGCCUCCAUUUCCCCAUCUGCAACAUGUAGGAACAACAGUGCUACCUUGAAGGGUUCUGGUAGGAUUACAUGAGGCCAGGAUGGGCCUGGCCUGAGAUCUGUGCUACUUAAGUAUUGACAUUAUAAUUACACCAAUGUGCUCACAAGAUGUACACAGGGGCUCAGGGACAUAGACACACACACUCCACCGACACACUCACCUGUGCCCACAGACUUCCUCAUAUACUUGGACACCCUCCCCUCCCUCCCUCCUGGCCCUCUCACCUGAAGUGGGUGCCAUGGAUGGCCUUGGUGCACUGGUCACCGGCUUCACCAGGGCCACGGCCUCUCUGGACACCUGUCCCACCCCAAAGAGACUGCUCAGGGGGCAACAGGCAGGCCCUGUGGAGGGGCAGUGGCAGGGCCACAGCUUAUAGGGGUAGCUGGUUUCUGAGGAUCCCUGAGGCCCCUCUUUGUCUUCUGUUCCACCUGGGCUCAGCCCCACCUUCCCCCCUCACCUGGGUGCCAGGUGCAGCUGCCAGGUGGGUCAUCUGCCCUUUCAGGAUCAUCAGGGCCUCCUCAUGAGGGUCUGGCCGCUUCAUGAACACUUUCCCGCCAUCCUUCCUGUGGGCAUUGGAGUACUGUGGUGGGUUGACACUGAGUCUCCCUUUCCCAUCACAUAGUUUGACAGUAGGAAACUUCCUCCUCCUCCACCACCCCCUAUCAUUAUAAAUGAGAAUCCAGGGAGAAGCAGAGACUGGCCUGAAGUCCUACAGCACAACCUAGACAACAGCAGGGCCUCAUCUGGACUCAUCAGUAUAAAGAAACUCCCUCCCUAACAGGAGCUGGGCAGGGCGCUUCAACCCAGAGUGAGCAGCUGACAGGGGAGCCACGAACAGCCUGGAGAGCUGAGCAUGGGCCUGCUCCACACUCCAGCGGGGCCCGAGGCCCCCGGGAACUCUACCCCUCCUGGCAGCCUCACAGAACCUGCUGCAUCCAUCUCAAAAGGCAUACCUCCUCCAGGAAGCCUUCCCCGCUGCUCAGAGGUCUUAAAUCCGGGGUCUGCACUCACAAACUGUGCAGCCUACACCAGCUUCUGGGGGACAGCAGAACACUGUGGGGGGCCUGGCACAGUCCCUGGCACACGGUAGGCACUCAUCGAGCCCCUGCCAGCCCCUCUACUCCUGACUUCUGAGGCAACAGGAAAUGACCCGCCACCUUGUUCUCACAGAGCCUCCCUGCCAGCCCAGAUGGUCACAAGGGCCUCCUGGGAUGCUGCCCACCUUGGCAGCCAGGCCCCUCCGGAGGGGCCAGUCUGGGCCUGACACCCCCGAACACCAACCCCCUGGGCAGAGCCUGCCUGUGCCUGGGUGAGGAACCCUGCAGUCUCCUUGCCACACAAGGCCUGGGUCUGCCUUGGGGCCCAGGCUGCACCCUCUCCGACCCCCAGGCCCAAUGUCUGACCUGUGCCCACCUGACUCAACCUGGCUACUGUUCAGCAAGUUUACAAAGUGUUCUCAGUCUGAACAGGAACCGUUUUCAAUCCUUUAUUUCAGAAAGGAGAGCCAGGAGAACUGGGGACUUAGAAAAUACAGAUCCUAAACUCAAAAGUCCCUGC